rnacentral:misc_RNA from 1 species
CAAAAAACACUAAUGACUCACCGUUUACAUAAAAGGGCUACAAUACUGUGUCUAAGAAUUUUGUAUUAAUGGGGUUGUGUACAUAUGCGGCUAAGACCAGGCUCUCCAUCAGCAUGACCUUUUUUUCUCCAACUCUCUCUCACUCUGUACACUUCAUUCCACAUUCCAGCUGCUGCAUAAAUAUUAGAUAGCGCAAUAGAAGCAUUAGAUAUCUCUAUCUCCUUUUCCGUCAGCUUUUCAGCUACCUUCUUUCCAAUUUCAACAUUUUCAUACAACUGACAGGCCCCUAGAAGUGCAGCCCAAAUGGUACCAGUAGAGCACUCAUCACUUAGAUGGUUCUCUUCCAUUCCUUCCACCAAAUGCCAUGCUUCCUCAAGCCUUCCAUUACGUCCCAAUAAAUCAAUUAGACAUGUAUAAUGUUCUUCAUCAGGGGUCAAACCAAACUGCUUCCUCAUUUGUGUAAAAUAUUGCAUUCCCUCAUCUACUAAACCACAAUGACGGCAAGCAGUUAGUACUGCAGUAAAUGUCACUUCAUUGGGAUUAAUUCCCAUGUUUACCAUACGCUGAAAAAGUUCAAGGGCUUGGAAGGCAAAUCCAUGAACAGCAAAUCCCAUGAUUGCAGAAGUCCAUGAAACGACAUUUUUCUCUUCCAUCGCAUCAAAAAG